rnacentral:rRNA from 1 species
GAUGAACGCUAGCGGCAGGCUUAACACAUGCAAGUCGAGGGGUAUAGGAAGCUUGCUUUCUAGAGACCGGCGCACGGGUGCGUAACGCGUAUGCAAUCUACCUUUCACAGAGGGAUAGCCCAGAGAAAUUUGGAUUAAUACCUCAUAGUAAUACGACUUGGCAUCAAGAUGUAUUUAAAGAUUUAUCGGUGAAAGAUGAGCAUGCGUCCCAUUAGCUAGUUGGUAUGGUAACGGCAUACCAAGGCUACGAUGGGUAGGGGUCCUGAGAGGGAGAUCCCCCACACUGGUACUGAGACACGGACCAGACUCCUACGGGAGGCAGCAGUGAGGAAUAUUGGACAAUGGGCGCAAGCCUGAUCCAGCCAUGCCGCGUGCAGGAUGACGGUCCUAUGGAUUGUAAACUGCUUUUAUACAGGAAGAAACACCUCUACGUGUAGAGACUUGACGGUACUGUAAGAAUAAGGAUCGGCUAACUCCGUG